rnacentral:rRNA from 1 species
AUACGUAGGGUGCAAGCGUUAAUCGGAAUUACUGGGCGUAAAGCGUGCGCAGGCGGUUUUGUAAGACAGGGGUGAAAUCCCCGGGCUCAACCUGGGAACUGCCAUUGUGACUGCAAGGCUGGAGUGCGGCAGAGGGGGAUGGAAUUCCGCGUGGAGCAGUGAAAUGCGUAGAUAUGCGGAGGAACACCGAUGGCGAAGGCAAUCCCCUGGGCCUGCACUGACGCUCAUGCGCGAAAGCGUGGGGAGCAAACAGGAUUAGAUACCCUGGUAGUCCACGCCCUAAACGAUGUCAACUGGUUGUUGGGGAUUUAUUUUCUCAGUAACGAAGCUAACGCGUGAAGUUGACCGCCUGGGGAGUACGGCCGCAAGGUUAAAACUCAAAUGAAUUGGCGGGG